UACGUAGGGGGCUAGCGUUGUCCGGAUUUAUUGGGCGUAAAGAGCGUGUAGGCGGCCAGGUAGGUCUGCUGUGAAAACUCGAGGCUCAACCUCGAGACGUCGGCGGAAACCAUCUGGCUAGAGUCCGGAAGAGGAGAGUGGAAUUCCUGGUGUAGCGGUGAAAUGCGCAGAUAUCAGGAAGAACACCCGUGGCGAAGGCGGCUCUCUGGGGACGGUACUGACGCUGAGACGCGAAAAGCGUGGGGGAGCGAACAGG
rnacentral:rRNA from 1 species